rnacentral:rRNA from 1 species
ACACAUGCAAGUCGAGGGGCAGCAUCAUCAAAGCUUGCUUUGAUGGAUGGCGACCGGCGCACGGGUGAGUAACACGUAUCCAACCUGCCGACAACACUGGGAUAGCCUUUCGAAAGAAAGAUUAAUACCGGAUGGCAUAGCUUUCCCGCAUGGGAUAAUUAUUAAAGAAUUUCGGUUGUCGAUGGGGAUGCGUUCCAUUAGGCAGUUGGCGGGGUAACGGCCCACCAAACCUACGAUGGAUAGGGGUUCUGAGAGGAAGGUCCCCCACAUUGGAACUGAGACACGGUCCAAACUCCUACGGGAGGCAGCAGUGAGGAAUAUUGGUCAAUGGACGAGAGUCUGAACCAGCCAAGUAGCGUGAAGGAUGACUGCCCUAUGGGUUGUAAACUUCUUUUAUACGGGAAUAAAGUGAGCCACGUGUGGCUUUUUGUAUGUACCGUAUGAAUAAGGAUCGGCUAACUCCGUGCCAGCAGCCGCGGUAAUACGGAGGAUUCGAGCGUUAUCCGGAUUUAUUGGGUUUAAAGGGAGCGUAGGCGGGUUGUUAAGUCAGUUGUGAAAGUUUGCGGCUCAACCGUAAAAUUGCAGUUGAUACUGGCGACCUUGAGUGCAACAGAGGUAGGCGGAAUUCGUGGUGUAGCGGUGAAAUGCUUAGAUAUCACGAAGAACUCCGAUUGCGAAGGCAGCUUACUGGAUUGUAACUGACGCUGAUGCUCGAAAGUGUGGGUAUCAAACAGGAUUAGAUACCCUGGUAGUCCACACAGUAAACGAUGAAUACUCGCUGUUGGCGAUAUACAGUCAGCGGCCAAGCGAAAGCAUUAAGUAUUCCACCUGGGGAGUACGCCGGCAACGGUGAAACUCAAAGGAAUUGACGGGGG